rnacentral:rRNA from 1 species
ACUCAAAGGAAUAGACGGGGGCCCGCACAAGCGGUGGAGCAUGUGGCUUAAUUCGAUGCAACGCGAAGAACCUUACCUGGGCUUGACAUGUAACUGCACGGCCGGUGAAAGCCGGCCUCCUUCGAGGGUGUUACACAGGUGCUGCAUGGCUGUCGUCAGCUCGUGCCGUGAGGUGUUAGGUUAAGUCCUGCAACGAGCGCAACCCCUGUGACUAGUUGCUACCGGGUCAAGCCGAGCACUCUAGUCAGACUGCCUGUGAUAAGCAGGAGGAAGGUGGGGAUGACGUCAAGUCAGUAUGGUCCUUAUGCCCAGGGCCGCACACGUGCUACAAUGAUCAGUACAGAGGGACGCGAGACCGCGAGGUGGAGCAAAUCCCAGAAAACUGAUCUCAGUUCAGAUUGGAGUCUGCAACUCGACUCCAUGAAGCCGGAAUCGCUAGUAAUGGCGCAUCAGCUACGGCGCCGUGAAUACGUUCCCGGGCCUUGUACACACCGCCCGU